CAACCAUAUCACGUUGAAACACUGAUUCUCGUACGAUCACCGUAGUUAAGCAACGUCAAGCCUGGUCAGUAAAUGGAUGGGUGGCCGUUUGGGGAUAACAGGUGUUGUAAG